rnacentral:rRNA from 10 species
GACGAACGCUGGCGGCGUGCUUAACACAUGCAAGUCGAGCGAGGGGCUUUGGCUUCUAGCGGCGAACGGGUGAGUAACACGUGGGCAACCUGCCUCGAGCUCUGGAAUAACCUCGGGAAACCGGGGCUAAUGCCGGAUAUGACGCUACCGGGCAUCUGGUGGUGUGGAAAGAUUUAUCGGCUCGAGAUGGGCCCGCGGCCUAUCAGCUUGUUGGUGGGGUGAUGGCCUACCAAGGCGACGACGGGUAGCCGCCCUGAGAGGGCGACCGGCCACACUGGGACUGAGACACGGCCCAGACUCCUACGGGAGGCAGCAGUGGGGAAUAUUGCGCAAUGGGCGGAAGCCUGACGCAGCGACGCCGCGUGGGGGAUGACGGCC